GCCUAGUUAGCUUAGUUGGUAGUGCGUCUGCCUUCUAAGCGCUAGACCGCGGGUUCGAUUCCCGCCCGGGGCG
rfam:Asian citrus Psyllid, Diaphorina citri - Florida Strain, whole genome shotgun sequence.